UUUUUAAGAAUUUUUUUUUAUUUGUCUUUUUGAUAUUUUCUUUUCCAGAUGAAACCUGCAGCCUCUUGGCUAAAUUAUGUUCUCAAGAGGAGAAAAGAGGAUUUGCCAUUGCCUGUCCCACCUUGACUCUCACCGAGGAACAGAGAAUAAAGUUCCUUCUGUCUCUCCCGCAACUCAACUAUGCUCUCGCUUUGAAUCUUUCUAAAAAUUUUACAUCUUUGAAACAACUGUUAACAAGUUCUGCUGAAGAAAUUUCUCAAAAGGGGAAAACAUCUGCGGCCCUUGCUAACAAAAUUCAUGACUAUAUUCACCGCCAAAGCUCCAAAGAUCUGUGAUAAAUUAUAAAGGAUAAAAAAGAGAUAUAUUUUGUUAUUUUUUGAAAUAAAUUAUUUUAUAUUGUU